GUAUCACGUGAAAUUUUGAGAGUGGGGAAAGUUCAGAUUCUGAUGAACAAGCUUCUUGAUUGGAGAUGAACGAAUUUGGUAACCUGCAUAGCAAGAGUUUUUUGUUGAUAUUACCAGACACAUCCAUCACAGUGUAGUUGUACUUUUUGUUGAUAUUACCAAACAUGUAUUUUGACUAUGUUGUUGUGGGCUAUGAUUAUAUUGUGAUGGAUCUUA